UGAUGGCUGAGUUGUACGGUUAAGUAUGCCCAGUUUUUUUCUUUGUUUGUUGUUCUUGGUGUGUGUGUGUGUGUGUGUGUGUGUGUGUGUGUGUGUGUUUAAAGAAACUGCCAAACUACUUUCCAGAGUGGCUGUAACAUUUUAAAUUCCCACCAUUUAGGAGGGAUAUAGAUUCCCCACAGCUCUGCCGGCAUUUUGUGGCCUCACUGUGUUUAGUUUGAGUUGUCCCAGUAAGAAUGUAGUGAGAUCUCAUUAUGAUCUUAAUUUUCACUUCCCUGGUGGCUGGCGAUGAUGAACGUCCCGUCUUCUCAUGGUCUCUUUUGUCCUUGUGUAUCAUCUUUGGUAAAAUAUUCCUUCACACUCUUUGUCCACUUUAUCAUUGAAUUGUCUGCUUUUUUUUAAGUGUUGAGUUUUGAGAGUUCUUUAUGUAUUCUAAAUGUGAGUCCAUUUUCAGAUACGUGGUUUGCAAAUACAUUCUCCCAGUCUUUAGUCUGUCUUCCAUCUAAUUUACCAGUGUUUUUCCUUUUAUAGAUCAUGUUUUGAUGUCAUGUCUAAAAACUCUUCCCCAAGCCCUAUGUCUCAAGGAUUGCCUCCUAUGUUUUCUUCCAAAAGUUGUAUAAUUUUACAUCUUAUACUAAAGUAAAUGAGCCAGGGGCACCUGGGUGGCUCAGUCGGUUGAGCGACUGACUUCGGCUCAGGUCAUGAUCUCACGGUUUGUGAGUGCAAGCCCUGCAUCGGGCUCUGUGCUGACAGCUCAGAGCCUGGAGCCUGCUUCGGAUUCUGUGUCUCCCUCUCUCUCUGCCCCUCCCCCACUCGUGCUCUGUCUCUCUCUGUCUCAGAAAUAAACAUCAAAAAAAAUUAAAGUAUAUGCGCUAUCGCGCAAUCAUUUUUGUACAAGUUGUGACAUGUAGGUCAGUUCAGGUCUUGCUUGGGGAUGUCCAAAUCCUCCAGCCCCAUUUGUGGAAAAUGGUCUCCUUCCAGUGAAUUACUUUUGCACCCUUGUCAAGAAUCUAUCGGUUCUGCUUGUGUGGGGCUAUUUCCGAGAUGACAAUUUUGUCCCAUUGAUCUAGGUGCCUAUCCUUCUGCCAGGAUUGCACAGUCUUGAUUGAUAUUAUUUUGUUAAUAAGCCAAAAUGGCUAUCCCAGGCUAUGGAUCUGCCUAAUUUAUCAUCCAGUAGGAAGGAAAGUGAUCCAACAGGGUUUGGAAAGAGUGGCAUAAAAAAGUAAAUUUUCUUCCUGUUAAAAUCUCACCAAGUCCAGCUUGUUUGAUAGGCAAUUACAAUUAUCUACCUCUUGGAAGAUUGGCUGUGUGUGUGUGUGUGUGUGUGUGUAUUUAUUUAAUGCAUCAUGCAUGAGAAGCAUUUAAUAUUGUGUCUGGGUUAAGUCCUCAAUUUUGUUGUUUGCCAUUAAUAUGCAAUAUUAUUAUUAUUACCUUCGCCAUCCAUGCUUUUCUCUGACCCCUUUCUAGGGGUUACACAGAGAAGCUAGCAUUUCCAUUCCUCAAACACAUCUCUCAACUAUGCUUAGAAGUUAAAAAUUGCCUUAAGGAAACAAAAAAAAUCUUGCUUAGCAUCUAUUAGCCUUCCUCACCCACCUUGAAGAAAAAGGAAAUUUAUCUAGACAGGUAAUAGACCCCAAGAUGGAAGGGCUGAGCAGGCAUUCCCUCUCGACCCUCACAGCUACCCACCUGCCUUGUGCUUCUUCAGGUCGGGAGAGCGAGCUGUGCACCCGGACGCCGUGCCCAGGACCUGGCCUCCUGGGUCGAUGUGUGGCUUGUUCAAGGGGACCCAAGGCUGAGGGCUGCAGGGAAAGAAGUAAGGUCACUCAUGUUUUUCAAGCCCUCCUCAGAGCCCUCUCAGCCCUCCAGCACGGAUCUCGAGGACCUAGAUUGGGAAUCCCUGAACCUUAGCCAAACCCACCAAGGCCUGGCUUUGCUCUCCCAGCUGAGGACAGGCCUGGGAGGCCACACCGCUCAAUGGGUUAAUAAGGAUUUCCAGGGCCGGGGAAGUGAGGGCUGCAGCAGCUGGGAUGAGGAAUGGGAGAAUCAUUAUUUUUAAUUUCAGCAAGUCCAUGUGUUAAUAAAGAGGUUGGAUGAGAUGUGAGGACGGUGGUGGCUGGGGGUUGGGAGGGGGCGAGAGCAAAGCCCAUCACUUCCUAAAUGUUUGCUGCUAGGGCAGCCACAUCUUUGAAACCAGAGUGGAGAAUUCUUCAAGUCUGGUAAUAGCAAACACUCUUCAUCAUGCCCUUCAGUGGCUGCUGACUGCAGACAGCUUUUUUCCCCUUCAACAAUAGAAGAGAUGGGAAAGAAAAGGCAAGCUUUUGGCCUCGGGGUUUUUUUUUUUUUUUUAACCACUGCUCUUUCCCGCUCCAACCUACAUCUAAGAGGGAGGGAAACUAUCUUUUGUUAUCACUCAAUCUCCCUUAAAUUUAAGAACAGCUGGGGAUAUUUUUCAUGAUUCAUUAAAUUCACAUCAUUCCAAAGAAAUCUUCCUGCCGAUUUAUCUUUACCUCAGCAGUUGGGGCUCCAGGAGUGUGCAGGCUUCCUGAAUGCCGUCAACCUGGGUCCACUGUUUUGGGCUGAGUCUGUGAUCUUUCAUGCUGGAAUAUCUUUUUUUUUUUUUGAGGGUGAAAGAGAGCAGGAAAGGAAUCAGGGUAUUGAAAUGAAUCUUUCCAGUCAAUUUUUCCCUUUCUGGAGAUAAAGAGAAAGUCGUAUGGCAGUCACAGCUAAAGACUAAACCCCAGCUAAUGUCCUCAGCAGGGAAGAAUAAUUAGUAAAUUCUCUAAUUAGAGUCCUGUUUACAUUUCUCUUUUCAUAGAGGCUAAUCCUUGUGUUUAAAGAAGAUAUUCUGCCUUGAUUAAAACCAUUGGCUUUAAUCGGAGUCACAGCAGAGUCCAUAGUAAAUGCAAACAUGCUUGUAAGUAUCCAUUCACUCACUCACUCAUUCGUGGAGGCCCUUAUAUGCCUAGCACCAAAUACAAAUAUGACAUGAUCCCUACCCCCGUGGGCUUGGGCAAGCACAGCAAACAGGUUUCACCUUCCAUGCCAACUGUAAUCCACCGGAGAAGGUUUUCUAGAGCAUUCGGAGACCAUUUCCUGGUUCAAGAGAAAGGACAGCUUUACUGGAUAAUUGGCAUCCAUCAAGAGGGCAGAAAGGUGGGGCAUCCUGAAGAGGGGGACACCCACCCACCCCCCAGGUCAUUUUUUGUACACCCAGGGAGAACGAACACUGCCCGAAGGGCUUUUAAAUGCUCUCCUGCAGUCCUCACAAAGCACACAAAUGGAAAGCUGGGCGUGAUUAGACAUGGUUGGUGAAGCCCUGGGACAGCCCAUGUCUUCCUCAACCCUGGCCUUUCCUUCUUAUCGAUGUUCAAGUGACAUAAGGGGCUGGGCCAACUCAGCAUGUUUACAUGAGGAUACCUGUAAUUCAAAACUCUCCACUACCCUAAGUGCUUGUGCUAUAUGGGCAGCACAGCACAGAGAUGAGAAGCUCGGGUUCUGGAACCCAUCGUCUGGGCUGUACACUGGCUCUGCCUUGCGUAGCUGAGUAAAAUUAGGUAGAAUUAACUAACCUCUCUGUGCCGCAGUUUUCUAAACUGUGAAGUGGGGAGAGAAUACCUACGUAAUGGAUUGUUAGGACUAGUAAAAGAAUUCCCAUGGUGCCUGGUUUCUAAUAAGUAGCACUGUGGGUGACCAUCGGUGCUGUUGAGGACCUGCAGCCCUCCCUCUACACCCUCUCUUUUGGUUUUUCCUAAUAGAAUUAUGUGCAAGUGAAAAGAAAAAGAAAGGAAACCAAAAGCAAAAAAAAAACAAAAAACAAAAAAAAACACCAAAAUGCAUUUCUCUGUUUGGAGUUAAAGAGAGUCCCACAUCUGAGAGAUUCACUGAGGACUCUUCUAUAAAUACCCAGUGUAACCAUAUCUGCCUCUUCUGGAACGAAGAACAUUAAGCUUGUAUUUCAACAAGCUUUCGAGGAACUUGAUAGUGCUGAUACAUUAAGUGAUAAGUAAGAAGCCACGGGCACAGUCACUAUCCCUGAAUAAGCAUAAAAUUAAAAGCUUAAGGAAUUCUGGAAAAUUAUUGUUUCACUAACAUUAAUGGGCGAAAACCUGUCCCCUCCACAUUGUGCACAGCCUUUCCAGCUGAUGGCCGACGAAUGCUACAUUUGUGACUUCCUUCCAAGUAUAGACCUUUGGAGAGGACACUAUAGGACUGUUCAAAAAAUUUAUCAGACUUGGCUUCUGCCCUCAAGGAGCCUGAUUGGGGAAGCUCCUAGUACACCCAUCAGAAGGAGGAAACUGUUUGCAAAGCCAAGUGUUACCAUAGGGCCUCUGAUUGCCAAAGGGGCAGAGAGUGAAGAGGGGUCUGGCAGGGCCAGGAAAGUUCAAGAGGACAGUAGGAUUUGAGAGCAGAUAGGCAACUUAUUUGCCUAAGUGGAAGUGUCUAAGUGGAAAAGAAGGAAAAGAAACCAACGGGUAACCUACAAGAGACAGAGUCUUCUCAAACACCUGGUCUCAUUUAGUCCCCCCAGAAUGCUCUGGGUUGAUACUAACUUACCAUUUUUAUCGUGAGAAAAUGGAAACUAAUAGCCGGGAGGUCAAAAACUCCUGAGACUUGAACCCACUUCUGGCAGACCCCUACUCAUUUCCCACUCCAUCUUGCUGCUUCUCUGGAAGCAUAGAACUUGAGAGUAUCAGAAAUAGAAGGUUUCCGCGAUGAAAAGACAACAGCCUCCGGGAAAAAGCUAUAGGGGAGGAGAUUGGGCAUGGUGGAUGGAGAAUCUCUCAGAGAGGAAAGUGCCAGCUAGAAAACACCCUGUGUAAGGAAGAGAAGGCAAAGAGGGGCAAGAUGAUAGUUUUUUGGUUGAUUUUUGUCUUGUUUCUGAGUAUGUGUUUACUUGUACAGAAUCUUGUGAGGCUCUAUAAGGACUUAAUUUUGAAAAUUUAAUUUUCAAAUUUGCCAAAUUUAAUUUAAUUUAAUUUAAUUUCCAAAAUCACCAUUUGGAAUCCUUUUACUUCUUAUCUUCUGUAUAUGCGUCCAGAUUAUACAGACAGUUCUCCACAUGAGGCCAAGCUACCACAUACAAACUGAGAACUUCAUUUCCAGCCUUGGAAUGGUCUGCCCCACCUAAUUCUGUCCAAAGUUUCCCAUUGGAAAUGAAGGUGAUCAGUUUGGGCUUAUUUGUCCAAAAGAUAAGCGAGAGGAGCAAAGAAGGGCAAAGCCAUAGUUUACAAGCUCACAAAAUGCACCCCAAAAUCACUCAAUGAAACUCGGAGUCAGAAUUCCCUUCCUAAAACGCAAGGCUCUUUGUGUUACUUGCCUGUUUAAAACCCUUUAAUAAUUUUCCAUUUCUUUGAGGUUAAAAGCCAAAUUUCUUAGCUACAUGAUACAGUGAUUUGGGACUCAGGCUUUGUGAGGAGACACAACUGCAUCUGAAUCUUAAUCCUACAAUUUACUAGCUGUGUUACUUGGGGCAAGUUGCUUAAUCUCAGUUUCCUCCUCCAUAAAAUGGGUUAACAAACUAAACCUAUUUAUAAGGUCCUUGUGAAGACGAAGUGAUGCAAUCCAUGCAGCCAUUAGUUCUGUGGUCUAGUGGGAUGGUCAAUACGUUCACCUCUUAUGACUUCCUAGCCCCAUCGGUCAUCUUACCGCUACCUGCUUUUCCAAAGUAAUCUUUUAACGCUCCCUUCUCCUUAGCAUUUCCAGCCACACUGAACUUCAUUUCAUUUCUUCUAAAGAAGUUUUCUCUUUUACCCUGGGCCUUUGCAUAUGCUAUUCUUUCUGUCUAGGAUAUUCUGAUUCCUCCUCUUCCCAUGGCUAAUUACUAGUUAUCCUUCUACCUUAGUGUAGACAUCCUGCCUUUUCUGACCCCAGCAAAUUGAGUCGGGUGUCCUUGAGGGUAUGGCGUUCCCAUGGCACCUCACACAUCCCAUGCCGUAGCACUUUGCACACGUGAUUGUAGUUGUUUCUUUGCCGGAGUACGUGGUCCAUGCAGGCUUAGUGUGAUAGCCCCAGCAGUCUAGUUAGUGCCUGGCAUAUAGUUGAGGUCAUUGUGGAACAGAGAUGACACCAAAUGUGCCUGUGGUAAUAGUGGGUGUUUGCCUAAGCCCCUCAGCCCGGUGACUUCUAGCCUCAGGGACCCUAGUCCUUCCGUGGGUCUACAACUCUUCAAACCCUCUCUCUGAGUCCACUCAGUCCCACACCAGAGAGCAAUGGACAGUGUAUCGUUGGAGGCCAUACCCAAGACCAGCAGGACCCUUGUUAAAAAAUUAUUAUAAAGAAUUUCAAGGGGCGCCUGGGUGGCGCAGUCGGUUAAGCGUCCGACUUCAGCCAGGUCACGAUCUCGCGGUCCGUGAGUUCGAGCCCCGCGUCAGGCUCUGGGCUGAUGGCUCAGAGCCUGGAGCCUGCUUCCGAUUCUGUGUCUCCCUCUCUCUCUGCCCCUCCCCCGUUCAUGCUCUGUCUCUCUCUGUCCCAAAAAUAAAUAAACGUUGAAAAAAAAAAAAAAAAAGAAUUUCAAGAUGGUAACAGUAGAGCAUUAAACCAAGUGUGGGGCCCUCCUAAGCAUGGCAUGCUGUGCCACUGCACAGGUCCCACACCCGUGAUGUCACACGCCCAGGGCCUGCCCUUCUUCACGACCCUGGGUCCAGAAGGAUCCGACACAUUCUUUCCCACCAGGGCACUAGGAACCAGUAGUGCUAUCUAAUGCUAUCUCCUCAGGAAUCAAAUGACCUUUAAGGAUUGCCAACCGGGGUAACAAGCUUAAAGCUAAGAAAGGAAUUAGUGAUGUAAUUUCUGUCCCCAGUGGCCGAGAUAAUUUUGCACGGGACUUAAAGAGGCAGGCAAGAACCUUACAUUCCAUUAUUUUGCUAAUACUUCCUCACACGUUCGUCUUCUGUUUUAGUGUAUAUGCAUGUGUAUAUAGCAUACACACACAUCCUGAGCUGAGAAUAUUUUUUUCUAACCUCAUUGUAUCCAUCAGCAAAAUGAACACUGACGUGUUAGUUUGGGGGCUUCAAAGAGAUGUCCUGAGGCUUCGUGUUAGUGAAGAGCUUAGAAAUCUUCCAUCAGAAAAACCACGUGUCCACAAGUGAGGCAAUGGACUCUAGAAACGCAACUGUUAGACUUUUGUGACAGAUACUUCAUGAUAAUAGAAUGCCAUGUGGUUUCAGAAAAUACGACAUUUCAGUGGUUCUCAACCCUGUCUGCUUAUUAGAAUCACUUUGGGGAAAGCUUCCAAAGCACGGUGAGGCCUGGGUUCCCCAACAACUGAAUCAAAAUUUCCCGAAGUCUGGCAAGGGCACCAGUAGAUGAUAAAGCUCUCCAGGUGGUUCACAUGUACAGCUGGAUAAAGAGGCACCGUCCUGGCUUGGACAGGUUCUGGAACAGGCACGGGCAUUCCCGGCAUGCAAAUUAGCGUCGUCAAUCGAACCUCAAUCAAAAGGUGAUGAAAAUCACGUGCUGUUUAAUAGCCUCUUAAUUUAAAUCCACACACGAGGAGGAGAGCUGCUCAUGUCCCCCGUCAUUAUUAUGUAUUUGGAAGCAGUGAAAUCCCUCUACAAAAAAAAAUAAAUAAAUAAAAAAGCCUUAAAACUAACUUAAGCCUUCAAAUCAUCAAUAAAAUAUAAUAUCAAUUUCAUCCCAUGGCACAAAUUCCAAUUUCCAUGAAAACUGCCCGACCCUAAAAUAUAUCAAGAGCUUCUUCUAAUCACAGGAGAUGUAUUCUGUAAAGGGCCCCUCUUCUGGGAUGGCUAAGUCCGCAAGUCACUGUUUUUACUACAGCUGAAAAAUUAAUUCCUUUUUAGAAAUAUUCUCAUCUUCUCCUAAAAGAAAAAAAAAAAAAGCUUUUUUGAUGUAGAGUGACAGGAUUAUGAAGUGACCCUCUGGGUCAGAAGGAGACUUUUCUUUUUCUCAUCAAGGAAAUCAAUUUCUAAAGUCCAAGUCUCUUAAAAUAAUAUAUUCUUGUGGCACGCACGCAGCUUUUUUGAUCUGCUAUGAAAAGAAUAAGAGGUAAAGAGGAUCAGGGGUGGCGAUGGAAUAUUAUAAUCUGCCACACUCACACAUCAGCCUUUCACUAAGUAAUUCCAGAUAAAUUGAGGAUUUACAUAUUUAAGAUUAAAUGGGGGAAAGAGUAGCUGAUGCAUAAAUAUGGGAAUAUAAAAAUAUUUCUGGAGCAAGUUAACUCUUAAAACUUAAAGUUACUUGGUGUUUCUUUUAUUGUUCCGCGUGGAAGUUUAAGGUUUAUUAGUGGCUAACCGAGAUCAUCUUUUUCAGAUCAAUUGCACUGACAACCCACCCUUAGGGAAUGUUUUUCCCUGUCCUCGGUAAAACCCCAAUUACACCAACAAGUAACAGUUAAAUGCAUACAAAGACGCAUAAAUACAGCAGAUGGAAAGCAGGAGGAAGCAGCUGGAAGUGUGUUUCCCUCAGAACUGUUUUUAACAGCCUGUGCACAAAUCAUGCCUCUCUAAUGCAGAGAUAAAAAUAAAACAUAAAUAUUGAAAAGGUUACUGGUCACAGCAACAAGAUGACAUGAGACACUGCGAUCCUCCCCGGUUCUAUUACCCUCGGACCACCCUUCGAUGCUCUCCCAUCUGGGGCUUCCGAGAGAUCCUGAAAAUCAUAUUCAACUCCAGGAUUUUGAUUGUGCUGGGAGCACAACUGCGUCCUGAACCCGUCCCUGCCACAGUUCCCAAGCAUCCGGUGCCUGUGUGGCUCUUGUUAGACCCCCGUUAGGACCCCCAAAGGGAGCCACGAUUUCUAACUUCCUAACAGCUCAAAAUACAACUUAACCAAGCAGUGUCCUUCCUUGCUAGGACUCGGAUCCCACGUUGCUGAGAAUCCUUCACUGUGUAGGUGCUUUCUAAAAAAUGACAGCUACGAUUGCAGAAUAUGUAUCUUUCAUGUAUGGAGGGAAUUCUGACCCACCAUUGAGUAGGGGAAUGAAGCUUGGGCCCUUUUUCCGGUGAUGCUGACAUUUUCUUAGGCUGCGCCUACCUCAUUGUCUACUCAUUUAUCCUUCAAGCGUUUUCUGACCGCUAGCUAAGCUCAGGCUUCUAUGGCAGGUGCUAAAGGGAAGGGAGUGACUAUGGUGAAGAGGGUAGGGAAGGAGCAUAUGGAGGCAACAAUGGCGGCUCCUGAGAUGCUGGCGAUGUUUUCUUUCUUGACCCGAGUGCUGGUUUACUUGCUGUUUUCUUUUAAUAACAUAUUAAGCAGUACAGUUAGGUUGGGUGCACUUACAUAGUCAUAUGCUACUUUCACAAAUUAAAAAAAAGUGAAAGUGGGGCACCUGGGUGGCUCAGUCUGUUAGGCAUCUGACUUCGGCUCAGGUCAUGAUCUCACGGUUUGUGGGUUUGAGCCCCCCGUCAGGCUCUGUCCUGACAGCCUAGAGCCUAGAGCCUGCUUCAGAUUCUGUGUCUCCCUCUCUCUCUCUGCCCCUCCCCUGCUCAUGCUCUGUCUCUCUCUCUCUCUUUCAAAAAUGAAUAAACAUUAAAAAAUAAAAACAUGAAAAAAUGUGAAAGAAAGAAAAAAGAAGGGGCAAACAUGAAAGACCCAGAUAGGGAGUUUUCAAUCGAGUAGGAAAGAUACUACAUAAAGCUAUCUUGUUAAUAAUGCACAGGGAGGUAUGUUCAAUGCCAUAAUUUAUAUAGAGAGAUAACAAUCACAGAUAGAUAUAGACAUAUAAUCAUAAAUACAAUCAUUUAUCCAUAUUGUAUAAAUAGAAUCAUUUAUCUACAUAAAUAAUUUCAGAAAAGUAUAAAUGACUGUAGGAAUUAAAAGGUCCAUCCGGAGAGAUCAAGGUUAUCAGAUAAGGCAUCAUAGAGAAGGCAGUAGUUGAAAUAGGCCUUGAAAGAUGGGCAACAAUUCAACAGCAGCGCUGGAGCCCCUAGGAGGUGGGCAUUGAUCAGGAAGGAAGGUCGGGAGCACAAAGAAUCCAGGAAGGACCGCUUUAGUCAAUGGAAGCAGGUAGUUUAAUGAAAGCAUAGGGAAGAAUGUAUAGAGCCAGAAAAGUAUUUUAUUUAAUGGAUAAAGGAGAACAUAGAAGUGCUGUGAGCAAGAAAACAUAUAUUUGAACUGUAUUUAGAAGAAUUAAAUUGGCAGUAAUCUCCUGAAUCGAAGGGAAGAGAGCAUGAGACACGAAGGCCGUUAAGUCAUGCAGAUUAUCCUUGGCCUUCAGAAUGCCAAGGUCGGGGGAGGGAGAGGUGGCUCUCUGAAGGCUCUCGGGAACUCCAGGUUCUCUGUCCAUAUUGGCGUGGAUCGCUUCCUUCCAUCACCUCCUCUCUGUCCCUCUUGAAAUCAAUCCCUUACCAAUGUUGUCGUUUACCUCCACUGGUGUAUCUUUCCAGUAUUUAUUCUUCGAGUACUAUAAAAGCUUUUAAUGUGAGAAACAUAUUCUUCCCUCAAAAAAAAAGAAAAAAUAUAUAUAUAUCCGUAAAUUGAUGGAGGGAAGUUACAAAUAUAGUCAGUCAAUUUGAAUAUUGCAAUACCCAAAUCUUACUGUUUUUCUAUGUGCUUCUGAGUUGAACUUUCUCCUUCCCUUUGCCUCUAUCCACACAGUUGCUGAGGGCGGGAGGUUGCUCGUGAGUGCGUGUGGAGGCGUGGCGGGAAGCGUGUGCAUGUGCCCCUGUGCCUACCUGUGUCUCUCCCGGAAUUCUUGGUGCUUCUUGCUAAAAGUUUGGUUUGGUCCUACAAGAGUUUCCAGGAGCUCAAAACCAUUGGCCUCCUUACUUUCACAGCCAUAACUUGGGGAGCUGUUAACACGGUUGCAAAACAGCUGUAACGCCCCUCACUCGACUGCCAGGGUUUCCUCUUCCUUAGGUCCCAUCAGGAUGUGUCAGAAGCAUGAACACAACUUAAAUGUCUAUCUGGUGCAUUUUACUCUUGUUAAUUAUGGAUGAAUUGGCGCAUUCAAAAGUGAAUCAAAGGAGAGGAAGGAAUCACCUCCACUAUUCAUUUACUCACAGCAAAUGCUUUCAGAGGGCCCAGAAUCGGUGCAUUUUCUAAACUGCACAUCUGUCUUUACUGCUUUACUUGUCCUAUCUCACUCUGAGGUCUGUCGUUUUAGAAGGGGGGGUGGUGCGCUGCAUUUUGUUACUUAUUCUUUUCAGUUUCUGGUACCCUGCAUUUAUCAGAGAAGGACAGUUUGAGGAAGGUCAAGGUUCAAAAGGACUCGUUGCCAAUAGGAAAUAAACCUUCUCUCCGCCUUCACACAGGUUUGCUCACGCCCCACAGCUGGGUCGGGUUUAUGGCCGAAGGGAAGCUUAUCAUCGUCGGCUGGCUGGGUGACCAACCGUUGAUUUGCACAUAUAGCUGUCACCAGCCCCUGCUGUGUUUCCCCUGUGACUCAUUUAUUUCAGGUGCUAUAGCAACAGGUCUGGGAUGCACACAUGAUGAAGUUCCUCGCCAGACCGAGUUCAAAGCACCUCUUGCCCUUCAAUGGAUCAGAAGAAAUUCUCUUUUUAAAUAUCUGCCAGCUGACCCAGAGCUGGCCAAAACAGGAAGGAAUUUUCCACCAGGACUUACUGGAUCUUGAGAGCUUCUUUCAGAACUUUGUGUGUUCAGGUGGGAAAGCUUUGUUAGGAGUCGGAGGCUGGGAUCAUAGCUCAGAUCUCCCAGAAUGAGCUAAAACACUCACGCUCUGAAGUCAGACGGACUAGGUGGUUCGUGAUCCAAGUGGCAGUGAAGUUGCCAUGAAGAAGAGAGAAAAACGGAGAGUGUGGAGCAAAGUUGCAUUAAACUAAAUUCUUUCAUCAAAAGUGUUG
rnacentral:lncRNA from 1 species